rnacentral:rRNA from 1 species
GACGAACGCUGGCGGCGUGCCUAAUACAUGCAAGUAGAACGCACGGUUUAUACCGUAGCUUGCUACACCAUAGACUGUGAGUUGCGAACGGGUGAGUAACGCGUAGGUAACCUGCCUGGUAGCGGGGGAUAACUAUUGGAAACGAUAGCUAAUACCGCAUAAUAUUAAUUAUUGCAUGAUAAUUAAUUGAAAGGUGCAAUUGCACCACUACCAGAUGGACCUGCGUUGUAUUAGCUAGUAGGUGAGGUAACGGCUCACCUAGGCGACGAUACAUAGCCGACCUGAGAGGGUGAUCGGCCACACUGGGACUGAGACACGGCCCAGACUCCUACGGGAGGCAGCAGUAGGGAAUCUUCGGCAAUGGACGAAAGUCUGACCGAGCAACGCCGCGUGAGUGAAGAAGGUUUUCGGAUCGUAAAGCUCUGUUGUAAGAGAAGAACGGGUGUGAGAGUGGAAAGUUCACACUGUGACGGUAUCUUACCAGAAAGAGACGGCUAACUACGUG